UCUUCCAUGUAGGUUGCUAUCUGAAUUUUCCUUCUUCCUUUUUUCACUUUCUUUAUUUUUGGUUAAUCUCGUGACCUGAUUUUAGCACCUAGCACUUUGCCAGAAAAUACCUUCUGCAAUAUUUGCUUCUUCUUCACUAAACACAACAGACCAGAUCCACAAAAUUUUUAGGGUGUUUAUCUGAAAUUUUCAGAUUAUAAAUUUAAAAUGUAGACUCCUGAUACAAAGCCUUUUCUCCUUAUCUUGUAUUCUUUAACUUACACUGCCAUUUCCACUGCAUCUACUUCUGGGUGCCUACUGGCAGAGCUUUGCUUGCAGGGCUGCCAGAGAACAUUUUUAUUUGCAGAGGUCCAUCAAGUCCCACCUGAAACAGAGCCCAAAGCAGUGUACAGGCUUUGUUUUCCACAGGAGAACCAGCUCCACAGCACUGCCUGCUCCUCAAGGUUUUGAAAUAAAUAAGAAGAAACACUGGGCAGCAACUGAAAUGUCAGCUCACGGUACCUUGGGACAUCUGUUUAAAAGAAAGAUGAAAAAAAAAAAAAAAGAAGCAAAAAGCAAACAACAAUAACAGAAAUUCCCAUGGCUGCCAACAAGCUGAGAAGUUUUACAAUAGUUCAACAUGCCAGAAAAAAGGUCAAAGGUCUGGCUGGAUCCAGAUGGCCUACUGGGCUAGUAUGGUGAAAGCAUGCCAGUUUCUGUAGCCAACAGCACAGAAGGGAGUGAUUUGGCUAGCAUUAUGGCCAUCUGCCUCUAACUCCUCGGCACAAAUGACCGGAUACCCACUGCAGCUGAAUCAACAGUGCAAGUGCACAGCAAAGCUCAAAUUUACACUGCUGGAUCUGUAUCAAGAUGCUUCAAAAUGGUGAGCAGGGCUGGGAAGUAGGAGAUAGCCGGGACAGAUGCUGGGGAGAUCCCUGAAAAGCUACACAGAUCGCUGUCUUCCUUAUGUGUCUCUCUACCCACCGACUGGGAUUAUUUUUCAGUGUUGUUUACAAUAAUUCUGUCAAUACUUGCAUUCACACUGAAAACAAACAAAUAAAUAUAGAGACACCAACCCCCAA